rnacentral:tRNA from 1 species
GGAGAAGUACCCAAGUGGUUAAGGGGACGGUUUGCUAAACCGUUAGGCGUGAAAGCGUGCGAGGGUUCGAACCCCUCCUUCUCCGCCA